UACGAAGGGUGCAAACGUUGCUCGGAAUUAUUGGGCGUAAAGCGCACGUAGGCGGCUUAGCAAGUUGGAUGUGAAAGCCCUCGGCUCAACCGAGGAAGUGCAUCCAAAACUGCUGAGCUUGAGUACUUAAGAGGAUCGCGGAAUUCCUGGUGUAGCGGUGAAAUGCGCAGAUAUCAGGAAGAACACCCGUGGCGAAGGCGGCUCUCUGGGACGGUACUGACGCUGAGACGCGAAAGCGUGGGGAGCGAACAGG
rnacentral:rRNA from 1 species